rnacentral:rRNA from 1 species
CGUGGGUAAUCUGCCCUCGAGUUGGGGAUAAGCCUUCAAAGGGGGUCUAAUACCGAAUAACAUCUUUGGAUGGCAUCAUCUAAAGAUCAAAGGCGGGGUAACCUGUCACUUGAGGAUGAGCCCGCGCUCCAUUAGCUUGUUGGUGAGGUAAAAGCUCACCAAGGCUGUGAUGGAUAGCCGGCCUGAGAGGGUGAUCGGCCACACUGGGACUGAGAUACGGCCCAG